CUUUAGGAUAAUUCCAUUUUAUUUGCAACCUCCAUCUUUCAAUUUACACUUGCACAUUGACAGGUUAAGCUACUAUUUAAUCAAAAUAUGUGAUACAACUUCAAGGUAUAUCUAAAUAACACCACACGAUUAAGAAUAAAAAUGUAGUAAUUUUUUUAUGACUACAUUAUUAAAUAAGUGAUUUAACUGAUGUAAUAACUACAAUUGCAUCCUCCAGCAAUAUUGGAAACAUACACUAUUUAAAAGAGGCAUGUAUGCAGUGGUGACAUUUCCUAAAAAUACAUGUAAUUAGGAUUACUGUUUAGAGAAAG